AUUUAGAGGGAUCAAGAAGAACUGUCUAAACCUUUAUUUCCCUUGGGACCAGCCCAUAGGGUCACCACAUUAACAUUGCUGUGAAAACUCAAUAAAAUCACACAGUCAAACCAUAGCAGGCAACACACAGUGACUUAUCACAACACAAUGGCACAUUUUUAAAGGGGAGGUGGAGACAAUAUUUAACAGAAAAUAUCUCACG